GAUCCCAUAGCUCAGUGGUAGAGUGCCUGAUUCCAGAGGUUGGACCGUCUCCAGGUGGUCAUCCGUUCAAUCCGGGUUGGGAUCA